rnacentral:lncRNA from 1 species
AGAAGAUGAAGAACUCGGGGACGCCGAACAAGACUAGUCUGUACCAAGGAAAGUAGAAAUCGCCAGUCUGUUUUAAGUCUUGUUGUAUUCUAUCAGCAUCUUUAACCCAGUAUGCAGUUCUUGAAUCUUUUUGAGAUGGUUGAUACCUUUAAAGUUUAAACUAAAACGUCGCAAGCUGUUUAGCUCUUAAUGAGUAAUCGAACUUCCUUCCGGUCUUCUGUUAUUGGAAAGAAAUGCUUGUCGUUUUUUUCUAUCUUUAUUAGACCUCAAUCUACGGCCUACUACAUUGGCCACAUUCAAAGAAACCCACUUGCUAUUUCAGGCAAGACAAAUACAGCCGUCUAAUGAAAUAGUUCACUAGAGUUUUCAGUCAUAUUCCUUAAAUUUUGUAAAAGACAUUGAAAAAAUAGUUCCCAUUGUUAUGAAAUAACUUAUAAUUUAUAGUAUCGAAAAAUUUAAAUAAGAGUAGAAUUUAAUACCCGUAGGAAGCAAAUAACACUAAUAUAAGGGAAAUAGUUUAUUAUAAGGAAGAAGAAGAAGAUGUAAAGGUGUACAAAAGAGUGAGAUGAUUUUUUUUUUUUUUUUUAUCCAUUAUGAGUUGAUAUAAUAACCAAAGCUUGUGUCUUUAAUGUUCUUUACAUGAAUCUUAUCUCUUAAUCACAGGUUUCCUCGCCUCUGUUGACUCCUACAUGAACUUGCAGGUACUCUCUUUGUUCCGUUCUAAUUAAAGCUCUAAACUUUAGUCAUUGAACUUUUUAAAGACAAAGAUUGAUGUUAUAUUGUCGACACCCCCAAACCAAAAUCUGCUUACAAGUUUUAGAAAAAUAAAGAUCGAUGAUAUUUUCAUUUUUUAUCACUGAGAUUUGGUUAUUGUUUUGCAGCUGGGAAACACCGAGGAGUAUAUUGAUGGACAGUUGACAGGAAACCUUGGAGAGAUCUUGAUCAGGUAAUAAUAUAAACCUCAUUUUGUCUCUUCACUGCAUUUUCGUUACUGGCUUCCUAUGUAAGCGAAUCGGUGUAUGUUUCUAACAGAAAUUGCAAGUCUCAUUAGCUCAUGGAAACUAUUAAGAGUUGGAAUUGGUCGUUAACGAAACGCACAUUCAUCAUAUUAAUUUAUAUGCUACUUAUGUUUAUUCAUUGCAUUGGAACUUUUGGAUCUCUUCUUGGAUUGAUUUACUGGCUUUGUUGUUCAUACAGAUGCAACAACGUUUUGUACGUCCGAGGUGUGCCAGAAGAUGAAGAACUCGGGGACGCCGAACAAGACUAGUCUGUACCAAGGAAAGUAGAAAUCGCCAGUCUGUUUUAAGUCUUGUUGUAUUCUAUCAGCAUCUUUAACCCAGUAUGCAGUUCUUGAAUCUUUUUGAGAUGGUUGAUACCUUUAAAGUUUAAACUAAAACGUCGCAAGCUGUUUAGCUCUUAAUGAGUAAUCGAACUUCCUUCCGGUCUUCUGUUAUUGGAAAGAAAUGCUUGUCGUUUUUUUCUAUCUUUAUUAGACCUCA